UAAGGAAUCUUCCACAAUGGGCGAAAGCCUGAUGGAGCAACGCCGCGUGCAGGAUGAAGGCCUUCGGGUCGUAAACUGCUUUUAUUAGUGAAGAAUAUGACGGUAACUAAUGAAUAAGGGUCGGCUAACUACGUGCCAGCAGCCGCGGUCAUACGUAGGACCCGAGCGUUAUCCGGAGUGACUGGGCGUAAAGAGUUGCGUAGGCGGUCCGUAAAGCGAAUAGUGAAAGCUGAUGGCUCAACCAUCAAUCCAUUAUUCGAACUCACGGACUCGAGAAUAGUAGAGGUACCUGGAAUUCCCUGUGUAGGAGUGAAAUCCGUAGAUAUAGGGAGGAACACCAAUGGCGUAGGCAGGGUACUGGACUAUUUCUGACGCUGAGGCACGAAAGCGUGGGGAGCGAACCGGAUUAGAUACCCGCGUAGUCC
rnacentral:rRNA from 1 species